UCCAUGUAUUUAUAAUGCUAAAAACGAGUAGACGUUAUGGAUUAGAAAAAAUCAUAUAAUAAUAAAAUCUGACGUUUUUUGUUUGGAGAACAAAACAAAUGGGAUGAUAAAAUAACUGAAACUAAUUUAUAUGAUAUUUGAACUCCUAAUUUGCAUAGAAAAUAAAAUACUGUAGUAACCCUAAUUUUUGGUAAAUAUUAUAACAUUUUUUUUGUUUUUAAAUUCUGAGUGUGGCUUGAGUAAAAAGCGAAGGAGCUUUUCGUUUUUUUAUUGUCUUAAUUAAGAUUUCAUAUUUCCAAGAGAUUAGUUUCCGAGUUGUUCGAGAGCCUCCUAAGGUUACAUUAUUAUUGAUAAGCCACCGUGAUGGGUGUCGCCGUUUUCCGCCAAAAAAGACCUUUCCGUUUUCGCCAAUACCUUUUUCCGUCAGUUCAAAAAAAAAAAAAAAAAAAAAGGAUUUUAACAUUUGGGAGUCCCUUUACUUAAAUAUUUAGAUAUUUAAUAAUAUUCUUUUUUUUUUUAAAUAUAAUUUUAUCAUAGCCCUUAUUUAUCAGUUAAUAACAAGUUACAUUUUGAGAUACAUAAUAUAUAUAUAAAUUAUAUAUAGUGGGUUUUUAUACAUCUAUAAUAAACCUAGUAUAUGUACCUAGAUUUAAUCAGAAAUUUGUUCGAUUUUCCGGAACUAUUUUCAUAUUCACGAUCAGUGCGUUGAGUGAAGUGCUUUGUUAAGACAAGCUACAGCCAUGUCCGCGAAAAUAAUUAGUAGUUAACGUGACUAUCCAGAAAUUAUAAUUGAUAAUUUUAAAUUCGCAAUGUAUUUAAAGGUGUAAAUAAAGUACGUUUGCGGUGUAUCAAUAAAUCAAGUAAUGCGAAAGUAUUCACAUCAUAAAUUAGUAGAUACGAAUUCAUAAAAUUGAUAUCAAACCAUUAUGCUAAAUGGGGUUUGAAUAAAAAAUUUAAAUAUAUAUAUAUAUAUAAGUAAUUUAUUUUAAAUUGCAUUAUUUUCAACUAUUUUUCAAUUUUUUUCAGAUUGGUACAA